rnacentral:rRNA from 1 species
GAUGAACGCUGGCGGCGUGCCUAAUACAUGCAAGUCGAGCGAAUGGAUUAAGAGCUUGCUCUUAUGAAGUUAGCGGCGGACGGGUGAGUAACACGUGGGUAACCUGCCCAUAAGACUGGGAUAACUCCGGGAAACCGGGGCUAAUACCGGAUAACAUUUUGAACCGCAUGGUUCGAAAUUGAAAGGCGGCUUCGGCUGUCACUUAUGGAUGGACCCGCGUCGCAUUAGCUAGUUGGUGAGGUAACGGCUCACCAAGGCAACGAUGCGUAGCCGACCUGGGAGGGUGAUCGGCCACACUGGGAAUGAGACACGGACCAGACUCUUACGGGAGGGAGCAGUAGGGAAUCUUCCGCAAUGGACGAAAGUCUGAAGGAGCAACUCCGCGUGAGUGAUGAAGGCUUUCGGGUCGUAAAACUCUGUUGUUAGGGAAGAACAAGUGCUAGUUGAAUAAGCUGACACCUUGACGGUACCUAACCAGAAAGCCACGGCUAACUACGUGCCAGCAGCCGCGGUAA